AACGAACGCUGGCGGCAGGCCUAACACAUGCAAGUCGAGCGGACACUCCGGGGUUUGCGGCGGACGGGGGAGUAACGCGUGGGAAUAUGCCCUUCUCUACGGAAUACUUCUGGGAAACAGGGGGUAAUACCGUAUACGCUCUUUGGGGGUAAGAUGUCUUGGGGCAGGAUUGGCGCGGGUUGGAUUCGGUGGUUGGUGGUGUACUGGCCGGCCAAGACGACGUUGCAUAGCUGGUUUGUGAGGAUGAUCAGCCACACUGGGACUGAGACACGGCCCAGACUGCGACGGGAGGCAGGAGUAGGGAAUCCUAGGCAAGGGGGGCAACCCUGAUCUAGCCAUGCCGCGGAAGUGAGGAAGGCCGUAGGGUUGUAAAGCCCUUUCAGCUGGGGAGAUAAUGACGGUACCAGCAGAAGAAGCCCCGGCUAACUACGUG
rnacentral:rRNA from 1 species